rnacentral:rRNA from 1 species
UACGUAGGGUGCAAGCGUUGUCCGGAAUUAUUGGGCGUAAAGAGCUCGUAGGCGGUCUGUCGCGUCUGCUGUGAAAAUCCAGGGCUCAACCCUGGACCUGCAGUGGAUACGGGCAGACUAGAGUGCGGGAGGGGAGAAUGGAAUUCCCGGUGUAGCGGUGAAAUGCGCAGAUAUCGGGAGGAACACCGGUGGCGAAGGCGGUUCUCUGGGCCUUUCCUGACGCUGAGGAGCGAAAGCGUGGGGAGCGAACAGG